GGUCCUAUCCCUACCUCCUCGUGGUACUGGCCGGGGUACGAGUAACCUUGGGGAAGAUCGGGUAACCAACCCCCGGUGGGAACUUUGGUCGUAUGCUGACAGGGAAGG
rnacentral:ribozyme from 1 species